GGGUGAGUAACGCGUGGGUGACCUGCCUUCGAGUGGGGGAUAACGUUUCGAAAGGAACGCUAAUACCGCAUGACAUCGAGUGAUGAUCAAAGCCUGGGGCGCUCGAAGAGGGGCCCGCGUCCGAUUAGCUUGUUGGUGGGGUAAUGGCCUACCAAGGCGACUAUCGGUAGCCGGCCUGAGAGGGCGGACGGCCACACUGGGACUGAGACACGGCCCAGACUCCUACGGGAGGCAGCAGUGGGGAAUUGUUCGCAAUGGGCGCAGGCCUGACGACGCAACGCCGCGUGGAGGACGAAGACCUUCUGGUUGUAAACUCCUGUCGGGCGGGACGAAUACGGUACCGCUAAAUGAAGCCCCGGCUAACUCCGUGCCAGCAGCCGCGGUAAUACGGGGGGGGCAAGCGUUGUUCGGAAUUACUGGGCCUAAAGGGCUCGCAUGCCGCUAGUUCAUCCGACGUGGAAUCCCCGGCUCAACCGGGGAA
rnacentral:rRNA from 1 species